rnacentral:rRNA from 1 species
GAUCAUGGCUCAGGAUGAACGCUGGCGGCGUGCUUAACACAUGCAAGUCGAACGGAGUUUACUUAACAGAUUCCUUCGGGAUGACGUUUUUUAAACUUAGUGGCGGACGGGUGAGUAACGCGUGGGUAACCUGCCUCACACAGGGGGAUAACAGUUAGAAAUGACUGCUAAUACCGCAUAACCCGAUAGGAUCGCAUGAUCCAGACGGAAAAGAUUUAUCGGUGUGAGAUGGACCCGCGUCUGAUUAG